AUGUGGUGCACUGGAUUAAUCCAACUACCAGAAACUUCCCACGGAUCUGGGAUUCCCCCAAAAAAAAAACCUGCAUCAUCAUGCUUACAUCGCAGCAAUGUAGACCCAGCGCUCGGCCGCCGACGCCGUCCCGUCGCAGCUCCUUCCGGGGAGGCAAGCCUUGGCCUUCGCCGCGUCCUGCACGCGGUAGCUCUCGCUCACGUUGUCGCCCAGCACCAGCCCGUCCACCGCGUCGAUCAUCCGCUGGUAGCGCCACCGGUCGUCGCUGUAACGGUACAUCUGGCUCGUCGCCGCCGACCCGUUGAUCACGUCGUGGUCCUUGACGACCAUCCAGCCCUUCGCGGUCUGCUCGUCCACCAGCGUCGACUCGUUCUCGAACCCGUCGGACUUCACCUCCGUCUCGAGCUUGAAGGUGUGGGACAGGCUCCCCGUGACGACGGACAUGCCGUCCUCGCCGUCCUCCGUGUCCAUGUAGAACGACAGAGGGUACUCGGACUCGGUCUUGAGCUUGCCGAUCACCUUCCUCGCCUCCGACCGGACCAGCACCUCCGUCUCCUGCUCCGCCUUCAUCUGGACGGUCUUGUUCCUGCCGUCCUUGGUGAACUCGACCAGGCUGCGUGCCUCCAGCUCCGUCUCCACCUCGGUCGUCAAGUUGCCGAGCGACGACUUGACCCAGCCGCUGAAGAAGGACUUCCUCUUGGCAUGGAUGCUGAAGCUGCCGUUCUGCAGCUGCGUCGUGUAACGGCGGGAGAUGGACAGGCGCGGCGUCCGGUACCGGCCGAGCGACGCUUGCACGUCCGACGCGCUGGGGUCCAGCCAGAGGUGCAGGUUGGCGUCCACGAGCCACUCGGCGAUGCCGUCCACCACGCUGAUGCCGAACUCGUGCGCCUUGCCGUCGACGAGGAGGCCCAGGAAUGGGGUGAGCUCGAUGUCGUAGGUGGGCAGGUCGAACGCGCCGAGCGCGGACACGGGCUGCCAGUAGAGCGGGUUGAUGCCGCCCGUGUAGAUGACGGGGAACGGCACGAAGGACCCGGCGAAGUGGUGGUCCACGCUGACGACGACCUCGCGGUACGCGGCGUUGCCCCUCUGCGUGGUGAGGUUGUUCUCAUGGAUGUAGAGGUCCGGCGGGUUGGAGUACCAGAACUCGUCGUUGGAGUGAGGGGACACGAACACCUCGAGGACCGCACGGUAGGUGCUCGACGGAAUGGUCACGAGCUUGGAGCGCGAGUCGGACGAGUUCUGGAUGCGGAACCAGUAGCCGCUGUCGCGGGUGGCCUCCGAGAUGGGCAGGAUCAGGUCCGCCGGCUGGAAGUACGACUCCGGCAGCGUCGGCGUCGCGGGGCCGGGGUCGGCGACACCAGCAUCGGAGGACGGGGAAUUUACCCCGGAGAGGUAAGCCGGAGUCCCGUGGAACUCGAGGGAGACGGUGACGUUGUAGACGCCGGUGUACUCGUCGUUGACGAGGUUCUCGAGCAUGACCGAGAGGACGCCGUCGGGCGGGGAGCGGAGGAGGGCGGAGUAGCGGGUGACCUCCUUGCGCACGGUCCAGCUGACGCCCUCGGGGGUGGGCUCGGCGGUGGUGGUGCGGAGGAGCUCGGAGCCGUCGAGCCAGACGGCGGCGACGCGGUCGUACUGGUCGCCGGCGCAGGCGGCGGAGAAGGAGAGCACGACCUGGGACCAGGGCGCGGGGCACCCGGGCGGGGGCGCGUAGGCGGCCUUGGCCGGGGGCGCGCCGUAGGUGUUGGCGAAGGAGUAGGAGAGCACCGGCACGGUGCAGGUCGGCGCGGCGGGGGGCGGGCCCGGGAGCGGGUAGGUGGGGUCGAUGUACUCCUGGGCCGCCGCAUUGCCGUUGGCGCCCGUGGCCGGCGGCGCGUGGCGGACGGCGUACCGGUCGGGGGCCUCGGCGAGAGCCGGACCGAGGAGGUGGAGGAGCGGGAGCAGGAGGAGGAGAGCCAGCGGCGGCAUCUUGCGCUGCGACGGGGGGAAGGUUGCUGGCUCGCUGAUGAGUGCUGA
rnacentral:rRNA from 1 species